UAAAUCAAUUUCAUUUUCCCUCUUUCAUUAGCCAAUUUCACUUUAAUAAUAAUUUAAUAACUAUUUCUCUUUUUCAAUUGUUUUCUCACGUUUCCUUUUCUUUUCUUUUUCUUCUUUCCAUUGUUCUCCCGGGUUUUUGCAGCCCCAUCCCCUAACCCUAGUUUUCAACAUGUCAAACAACCACCAUACAUCACAACAUUGCCCGUCUACCUCACUCAUACUGCUUCGACCGCCACUCUUCAUUUUCUUUCCAGUUGCAGGGAAGUUUUUAUCAUUAUUCCGUGGUUGUGUGAAAUUGGUGCUUUAGGGAUUGUGUACAUGAGAUGCAUCUAGUUGAUAUUCAAGGGAAAUAAUGGUUGAAGUUGAGGAUAAUGAUGAUGGGAAGCUUGAAUGAAGACAGUGAAGUUGAGAGAAGUUUUACUUUGUCUUCACUUCACUCCUACAAAUUUCCAACUCAAACUGUGUACAAAAUAUUCAGGUUUAGACCUUGUUACCCAACUGUGGCAUCUUAUGUGUUUCCUUAAGAUUUAUGGCUAAAGCUUUGUUCCAAGGCAUUUAAGUUUAAAGAUACACUUUUUUUUUUGAAAAGUCUAAGGUAUGAAAGAUUGUUGUUGAUGAUGUUUUGUAAAAUGGAAUGUGAUUGUUGUAUUAUGAUCACAUCAAAUUUUUUAGGAUGUUGAGAAUACUUGAUAAGGUUUCUUAUGGGACAACACUUAAUGUAUCCAUUAUAAUUGUUUACGCUGCAAUAAUUGCUCUUAUAACUAGCAGCCAAAGGUACUUCACAACUGAGAUAUCUCAAUUAGUAGUUUAUUUUGAAAACUUUUGUGGUCUCAAUUCACUCAUAAUAUUUAUUAUUUACAGCAAGGAGGACAAUCGCGUAUGACAUGGAGACAAAUCUUAUGAUUUAGAAUUCACUUUCUUCAUUAAUCCAGCAGAUUUAUUAUGGUAAUUAUUUACUUGUCUUUAUUAUGUGAGCCAAAAAUGGAGGAAAUAGAAGUGUCAAGUUCCAUCCUGUGUCAUGUUUGGAAGACUUUUUAAUGAAAUGGGUAGAUAGAAAGACUAUUGAUUUUGUGCUUAUGAGAGUUUAAGUUAUAGAUAAGUUAUGUCAUCUAAUAAGAUUUUGUUCUUUGAACUAUAUUCUGUUCAAAAUUAUUGAGUAAAGGGCUAUACCAGCUGUACAACUUGUACAUAACAAUUUGUUGAUAGAAAACCUUGAUUAUACCUUAGAAGUUUCUGCCUCUUACUCUAAUACCCUUUUCAAGUAGUUGAAAGCAUGGUUUUAAAUUGCGGUCCGCAUCCGCAAUUGCACCCGCAAUAUUGCGGAUGCGGUUGCCUCCGCAACCGCAUCGGACCGCAAUUGCAGUGUGAUUUUAAAGUCUCGCUUCCGUAUGUAUUAGGAACCCCAUCGGACAAUUUUAAUCAUGUUUUUUUUAAGUAUUUUCAUCAAAAAUCAAUAUAUUAGAAUUUUAAAACUCAAUUUACUUCUUAUAUAAUGAAAAAACAUAACAUGAAGUGUUUUUCAAUAUAAUAUUUUAAACACUUCCUUUUAAAAAUUCACGCCGCAACGGCCGCAAUGCGCAUCGCAACAAGCGCAAUGACCGCAAUCGCAACAUCCGCAACCGCAUCCGCAGCCGCAACCGCAAUUUAAAACCAUGGUUGAAAGCACAUACUUAUGGUCAUUGCUUACAAAUAUUUUGAAUUUGAUAAUGACCAGAAAGUUAUGGUGAAAGCACAUAAGAGUCAUGUUAUUGUCUCUUGGUCAAAACUUUAACUUGAUCAUGAAGGGACAAUUUAUUAUUCCAUCAAUCCUAUGUGAAUAAUAUCAACAACAACUACAAGAAAUAGAUCAUCAUUACUCAAAGGGGAAAAAGUUCAUUUACAUUUUUUUAGGGGCUGAAGGAAAGGAGACUCAUAUUUGGAACUUGCAGCCUAUGCAUAAUUUGUCUCCUAAAUGUAUAGAAGACUUCAAUCAAGGGAUGCAAAAGUUAACCAUGCAUGAUACAAACUAGAAAAAGGUUUAACUUACCUAAUCCCACUUGCUUAGUGUGACUAGAAUUUUAAGUUCUGUUAGAUACAAAUUAGAAAAAGGUUGAACUUACCUUAUCCCACUUGUUUGGUGUGGCUAGUAAUAAACCAUGUGAAGAUCAGAUUAUUGAUGUAAUUUAUUUAUGGCUAUUGAUUUAAUAAUAUUAUACUAAGAUAUCACAAUGUA